rnacentral:rRNA from 1 species
AUUGAACGCUGGCGGCAUGCUUUACACAUGCAAGUCGAACGGCAGCGCGGGCUUCGGCCUGGCGGCGAGUGGCGAACGGGUGAGUAAUGCAUCGGAACGUGCCCAGUAGUGGGGGAUAGCCCGGCGAAAGCCGGAUUAAUACCGCAUACGACCUGAGGGUGAAAGCGGGGGACCGAAAGGCCUCGCGCUAUUGGAGCGGCCGAUGUCGGAUUAGCUAGUUGGUGGGGUAAAGGCUUACCAAGGCGACGAUCCGUAGCUGGUCUGAGAGGACGACCAGCCACACUGGGACUGAGACACGGCCAAGACUCCUACGGGAGGCAGCAGUGGGGAAUUUUGGACAAUGGGGGCAACCCUGAUCCAGCCAUGCCGCGUGCGGGAAGAAGGCCUUCGGGUUGUAAACCGCUUUUGUUCGGGAAGAAAUCCUCUGGGCUAAUACCCCGGGGGGAUGACGGUACCGGAAGAAUAAGCACCGGCUAACUACGUG